rnacentral:lncRNA from 1 species
CCGCCGUCACGGGCUCCUCACUUUGGUUAACUUGUUUUCUACAAAACCCAAGUUUUCUUUCAACAAGUUGAGCUUUUUUUUCUUUUCUUCCCACAGAUGCAUUUUGGAUUUUAGUCAUAUGAUUUCUUAUGCUUCAAUUCGAGGACUAAGUUGUAAUUAACUUUCUGAUGGCUAUAUUCAUUUUGAGGAUAAACAGACAGAU